rnacentral:siRNA from 1 species
GUACAGGAGAAGCAGCGACGCA